AAGACAGCUGCCAAAUAUGGCCUUUCCGCCCAGCCCCGCCUGGUGGAUAUCAUUGCUGCCGUUCCUCCUCAGUAUCGCAAGGUCUUGAUUCCCAAGUUAAAGGCGAAACCCAUCAGAACUGCUAGUGGGAUUGCUGUCGUGGCUGUGAUGUGCAAACCCCACAGAUGUCCACACAUCAGUUUUACAGGAAAUAUAUGUGUAUACUGCCCUGGUGGACCUGAUUCUGAUUUUGAGUAUUCCACCCAGUCUUACACUGGCUAUGAGCCAACCUCUAUGAGAGCUAUCCGUGCCAGAUAUGACCCUUUCCUACAGACAAGACACCGAAUAGAACAGAAAGCAGACUUGAAGUGCCUCCUGUGCCUAGAAUCAUCCAUCAAUUUUGGACUGCUGUCUUGAUUUUUCUUUCUAAUCUAUUCUUUUUUUCUUCCGUUACAUCAAAUCCUUAUUAUGUUACAUAAUCAUUCAUGUAUCAUUGUUGACCAUAAAUGCCACCUUUUUGUCCUCUAGGCUUACCACCAAGUCUGACAUAAAAUACAUGAUCAAUAAAUACUUACUGUUUUGCG
rnacentral:sRNA from 1 species